rnacentral:lncRNA from 1 species
UUGAGUGCACUAAGCCAUUGUUCCAUGAAGAAUAGACUUGUAUUUAGUAAUGUAAGAAUUUGAUCCAAACUAUUGUACCAUGAAGAAAAUUUGAGCAUGUCAUUGAUGAAUUCUCGAGAGCUAUAUAUAUCAACCGAACCCAAUAUUCAAAAUAAACCAAGUUCCACAGAAACCUGUCCUAAUGAGAGAGAACAUCCUGACAAAGCUCGAUCUAUUGAGCCACAGAAGUGGAAAAUAUUGAACCCUUGCACAGUAGUGUAAAGUUUCAGAACAGGUAUGGUCUUCGUUCCAGCCUUCUUGGGUUGGUAUGCCACUCCUCUCUCCUUGGGCUACAAGGCCCACCUCUCUCCUCUCUCCUCUGCUCACGUCCCUCCCUUGAUUCAUGCACAAAUUUGCAAUCGUGACCGUAAAAACAUCUUCCUUGAGCAAAGUAUCUGCAUAGCUGUCCCUCCCUUGAUUCAUGCACAAAUUUGCAAUUGUGUCCGUAAUGACAUCUUCCUUGAGCAAAGUAUCUGCAUAGCUGUAUCUGUUGGUCGCCGCCUUGUCCAUGUGGUGAUCUAAUUGGACUAGAGUUAUGAAUGCUUGCCAGUGGCUUUCUACAGAAGUUGGGAGACCUUGAACAAAAACCAUCCUGGAUGUCACUGUACUCGACUGAGUUUCCAGGAACUUGGCCGCGGUAAUCAUUUUCCCCUCGGUUUGCAUGAAGUGGAGGUUGUUCGCAGCCGUGUCUGUGUGGUGAUCCCAUUGGACGAUAGCUGUCAGCACAUUUCAAGGGUUGUCUCUGAUCCAUCCUUGACAAGCCAUUGUUUAAACUUGUGCGGGGAUUUAACUGAGAGCGACUCUUGUUUGUCUCUUCCUUUUUCAAGGCCCUGAAGUACAGAGGACUUCAGCAUGUUAACAUAGCUGAACAAGUCUACCAGAUAACAGGUAAGUUUUGAUUCACUGGAUUGCCUAUCAUUUUCAACAAUAUUCCACCAUGACAAUAAAUCAGAGUACCUUUCCACCCUGAGCAUUUUCCUCCCUUCCUUCUCCUGGAUCCUGGUUUCUCUGCUAGACCUGGCGAGAGAACCUCUUGAGUGUUUUUCGAGAAGAAUCUUGCGCCUUUCUAGGUAAUAAUUCUAGGUAUGAUAUACUUCUAGUAAUAAUUUAUGUCGUCUCUAUGAGCCAUUUGCUCAAUGGGGAAAAAUUAUUAUCUUCCAUCAUGAAGGACAAACUGUUGUUUGCCCUAAAAUAACUAAGGCUUAUCAUCGUGGUCAGCCUGGUUUCUUAGAUUCUCAAAAACAUGGUAGUCAUACCAAAGUUCCUGAACCCGAAAAUAUUGUUCAAAAUUUAGAUUUUGAUCAAAAAAGUCUGGGGGAGAGUAUCUGUACUUUCUCACCUUCUAAAGAUUUUUUAUUAAAUCUUAUGAGUUUAUCUACCAUUGAAGAUAAACUUAAGAUGGUUUGUAGUGACAACCCAUUAGAUAACAAUAUCUCUAAAUACAAUUUUAGAGCCCACAUAGAAUUAGUUGAUAAAACAACUAAAAUAAAGGUUCCACCUAUGCAGUACACUGCACCGGAUAGAGAAGAAUUUGCAAAACAAAUUCAGGAAUUAUUAGAUGCCAAUCUAAUAGAACCAAGUAAAUCUCCACACUUUAGUCCUGCCUUCUUAGUCAACAAACACUCAGAGCAGAAACGUGGAAAAAGACGUAUGGUAAUCAAUUAUAAAAAAUUGAAUGACCACACAAUAGGAGAUGGAUACCUUCUACCUAGAAAAGAUGAACUGUUAGAUCAGAUUCGUGGAAAAAAGCUAUUCUCCUCUUUUGACUGUAAAAGUGGAUUUUGGCAAGUACUGUUAGAUAACAGCUCACAAUCUUUAACUGCUUUCGCAUGCCCAUAAGGACACUUUCAGUGGAAAGUCAUGCCUUUCGGCUUAAAACAGGCCCCAUCCAUAUUCCAGAGACAUAUGGAUGAGACCUUCAAAGGAUUUGAAUCCUUUUGUCGUGUCUAUGUCGACAAUAUUAUUGUGUUCAGCAAUAAUGAUAAAGAUCACAUCACCCAUGUGACUAAAGUUCUAGAUAGAUGUAAAGAAAUAUGAGUCAUCCUAUCUUUACCCAAAGCUCAAUUAUUCAAAUAGGGUAUUAAUUUCCUCGGAUUAAUAAUUGACAAAGGACAAAUUAAGUUACAAAGUCACAUAGGUAAUCACCUUAGUGAAUUUGAUAGCAAGAUAACUGAUAAAAAACAGUUACAAAGAUUCUUAGGAAUUUUAAAUUAUAUUUCUAAUUUUUGUCCAAAGGUUGCACAGAUCCGCCAACCUCUACAGGCAAAAUUGAAGAAAGACACUGUUUGGCAAUGGUCAAAUGAAGAUACAACUUAUGUUGACAAAAUCAAAAAGGCAAUUAAACAUCUUCCACCUGUCCACCACCCUGGACCUGAUGAGCCUUUAAUUAUUGAGACUGAUGCCUCAGACAAAUAUUGGGGAGGAAUCCUUAAAUCAAAACCUCAGGAAGGACCUGAAUUAAUAUGUGGUUAUGCCAGCGGGACUUUUAAGCCAGCCGAGCAAAAUUACCAUAGCAAUGAAAAAGAGCUCCUCGCUCUUAUAAAUACCAUCAAACGGUUUCAAGUAUAUCUCAUCCCAGUGAGAUUUAAAGCAAUAACUGAUAAUAAACAUGUAUUCUUCUUUCUGAAUACUAACAUUACAGGUUCUUAUAAACAAGGAAGAUUAGUCAGGUGGCAACUCUGGCUACAAUACUUCGAUAUUGAGUUCGAACACGUUGAGGGCAUUAAUAACGUGUUUGCAGACGCUCUCUCACGAGAGUUAGGAGAAAUAUGUCGAGAUCAGACAUAGUAGAAGAUAUCAAUGACCUUGAUAUAAAGAUUGCCAAGACGGAGAAGAGGAUUCAGGAAAAGAAGCUCAAACUGGAGCGUCUCACUGAAAAAAGAAGUAAGUUAACUUCUAAACCUUUUAGUGCCGAAGGCCUUCUUGAAAGGUUUUCUGAAAAGAUGGCAGUCGCCAAGGCUACUACUGGACAGACUUCACAGUCUCCUUCCAGUUCAAAAGAUUUGGUUUUAAAACCAAAAAUCCUUGACCAAGGGAUCAAAAAGAUAGAGGAUGCUUAUAAGGCCUCUGAACCAUUCAAAGCGUUAGAAGCGCAAAAAUGUUAUGUUAUAUUUUCAGGACCCCGUGCUGGAGUCUACAAAGAAUGGGCGACAGUUCAACCCCUUGUAUCAGGUACGCCUUAUGCAUUUCAGGGCUAUAAGUCCUAUGAAUUGGCCCAAAAAGCCUUUACUGAUUAUUGUGUCCAACACAAUACACCCCUCCAAAGUGUUCCUAGACUCAUCACACCUGUUGAUGUUCCUAGACUCAUCACACCUUUGCUGAUAAAGCUAAAAUGCCUGCUAACCCAGUCACAAACAGAGCCUUUACUAGGUUCAACAAAAUUAGGAUACCAGACCCUGAUGACCAUGAAUUCAUCACUCUGGAAACCUUUGAUCAUUACUUUGCUCUUGCAGAGUCUACAUGUACUGAUGAACAAAAUCACUACUUCAUCAGUGAAACAAAAGGAUUACGUUUGUUUAACGUAACUAUAGGUGCUAGUCCAAAGUUUGUCCAAACUUUGUUUUAUUGUGGUCUGCUUAAUGCAGCCUAUCCUAGCCCUAACCUGAAGGAGAUCAGCCUCCUUCCCCAAAAGAUUCUGGUUGCAGUAAAACAUUACCGCCAGAAGGUCCUCCAGGACCCCGAAAUGAGAGUUUAUCUCUCUUUCAAAAGUUCUUUCCUUGAUUGGGAAGAGACAGAAGAUGAGACCGAUAGUCUCAGAAAUUACCCAGCAUAUCAUUACAUUAAAAUGGGUAUGCUCCGAAACAAAAUAGAUGUACAGCCAUGUACAGAAUCCAAGAACCCAACUCCCCAUCUACACCAAGCACUCCCGGAGUUAAGAGCACAAACAUUAGGAUUUGUGUUAAAAAAGAUUAGAACUUCACUUUAUGUGUAUUCUAAAGUCCGAAUUAAUUAUCAGAGCAAUCAUGUUCUGUUAGCAACCGACUCGUUGCAAACAAUCAGUGAAGAAGAUUGUCAAAGGAUACAGAAGUUUGAACGACAGUUCUACUGUAAUGAUCUUGGGAUCUCUGCAUCAACCAAGAGAAAAUUCUGUGCUUAUGGCACCGAAGAUCAUAAAUGUGACUUCUGUCCUGAAGACGAAAAAAUGGAGACCUGCUCCUCCAACAGUGGUGACGCACUGUCUGACGAUUCCUGCCAACCAGGAAAGAGAAGGAUAGCCGACGAGAUGUAACAGGCUACCUCAAUGUGGACCCUACCACGAUAAAAAAGGAACUAUUUGUAAUAAUUUAGUUUGUUUGUUAUUGACCCUCUCAGGCUAUAAAAAGCCUUGAUCUCUAUGUAAGAUCUUCAGACUAAUUCUGAAACCCUAAUGUAACAAAUUUUCCAUAUUCAAUAAAAGAAAUCCUUAACAGGAUUUGAAAGUUUUAAUAUAACAACUUUGUGUUGUUUAUCUUAAGUUCUUAAGAACUUCUAAAGUGUCUACCUGCAUUCUGUAAGUAGCCUACUACUUCAGUCGCCUGAAUAGCACCUGAAUAGCACAAGUAAGUCCCGUAUGAAGAUGAUGAGAAGGGCAGAAGUGUUGGUGUUGGCGCCGUAUAAUGACGAAAAGACAAGGGCAGUGUCUCAAACGACACAGUAAAGAAGAUUAUCCAGGUAUGGAUUCAAUAGUUGAUAAUAUCAUCAGUCAUUUUGACUGUUUAAGUUUAUAUUAUACUCCUACUCUUAGGAUGUUUAUAGAUAAAAUCCAAGCAAGGAUUGAUUAUUAUGAGGAUAGAAUCCCCGAAUACAUUGAUGAUGAUUGGUUUAGUAGACCAGAAAACAUACCAUUGAGUUAUAGACUUAAAUUCUUAAGAAGAAUUAAAAAGAACUUAUUAAAGCUCUUAGAAGAAUCUGAGAAUGAUUCUCAGGACCCUGAAGCUGUUGAUAGCAGUGAUGAAAUUAUAGGAUUAGAUGAUUAUAAUCCUAAUAACUUAUAAGAUUCCGCUUGUUGUAUAUAGGCUGGAAACCAGUAACUAGAACUUCGGUUCGUAUUUCUGGUAUAACAACGCCACGUACAACGUAGUGUUAAAAAUUUGGUAUCAGAGCCUCGUAACGGUUCAAAUUGUUUAUGUUUUCUCGACUUUGUAGAGAAACUAACAUUGCAGAUAUGAGUCAUCCAACUCAAGAAGAAGAAGAUUCAAGCUUCCAACAAGAAGUUUUUGAAGCAGAAGGAAUAUUUGCUCAAGAUGUAACCAUUGACAACAAUAUCCUAGACCAGGUAAGUAAAACAGACUUAUCUUUAAAUUCAGAAGAUGUAUUUAAAUCUUUAAGUACAAUAGCCUCUAUACAGAAUAAGUUAUUUCGUAGAAAGAAUCAUAUUAUUACCUGUAUAGGUACUAGAGAAUAUCCCAUAGAUAUAAAAGAUACUCGUGGUAGUACAGAAAUACCUUUAGUUUUAAAGGAAGAAAUAUCUCAUAAACUUGCUAAGUUUCCACCUGAGAUACGAAAAACAAUUACUUAUAUACACGUAGGUAGUAUAAAAGUUAUGAUGAAAUCUACUUUUAGAGUAGGUAUCAAUAGCGCUGUCAAACUUGCUAUUUUAGAUAGACGUAUGACAGAACCCAAAGAUGCUAUCUUUGGUGCAGUACAAGGAAAUCUAGCUUAUGGUAAGUUAGUAUUUACUUGUAACCCUAAGAUUGGUGUUCCUCUGAACACUAAAAACAUAAAUUCCAUAAUAUGCUUAGCUCAUGAAUUUGAGAGAACAGAUUUGAUGCGUAGCGGUGAUAUGCCCCUUAGUAUCACAUACAAGAUUUGUUAUACCUUAACAAAUAGUCAUCAUUCUAUGAUGUUUAAAAAUAAAGAACCCAUUAGUAUUGAUGGAGUCUUUAAGAAAUUUGGACAAAUAUCCAAUAUUCCCUUCCAGGAGGUUACACCUCUUGAUUCAGUUUGGGCCAUGGACCUGAGUCCUAAACCCUUCUUAGGUUCCCAACCUAAGUUACAAAUUAUGGGAACUCCAAGUUCACAGCUUGGGUUAAGAGACCAUAGACAGAUAAGUAAUCAAUGGAUUACCCAAAAUGAUCAACCAAUCCAAAGGAAAGGAAUUCCUUUAAUGGUUAAUAAAGGUUCAUCUGAAGAGGAUGAAAGACCAACGAUUAUAAAUAAUUGGAGUUAUAAUCCAGGUUGGAAUGAAGGUCAGUCUUCAUUAAAUAAUAACGAAGCUUUAGUUAAAGCCCGUUAUAGGAUGCAUGGUUUACCACCACCAGAACAAGAUAGCCUUACAGCUAUUAGUAAAAGGAUAAAUCAUUUAAGUCUUGAUUUAACAGAUAAAGAAAUAUGAGUAAUCCCCAUCAAGGAAAACCUCAUAUAUUUUAUAACAAAAGAUACAUAGGUUUAAAACACCAGAAUGUAACAGUUAAUCCACCACCAUAUACAUAUCAUGGCGGAAGAGGGAUAGAUGGUUGUCUUAACCAUUUAAAUAAUAUAAAUUCGGUCUUAGGAUCUGUAUUUAUCUUACUCACCAGUCUCAGUAAUGUGUUUGGCUUACCAUCCAAACAAUUUUUUAGUGGGGGGGAUAGUGACAUUGACGACUUCCCAAAACCAUCAAAAAAUCCACAAUUCACUGAUAAUGGAUUGUCUUUGUAGGACAUUGAUUUGUUUGUCUUCAAGGCUUUUGAAAUCUUCUGCAAGUUUAUUAAUAACUUUUUCUAAGCCAUCUAUUUUUCCGGUGGACAUCUUUUCAAACCUUUUGGUCAAUAUUUUGGACAACUGAUAAGAUUUGUUCAAUCUUAAUGGGGUCUAUACCUUUGAAGGUAUUUUCUAGGGAUUCUAAAAAUCCUAACUUUUGUUCCAAAGACUGAAGUCUAAGGUUCAUAUUUUCUAUCAGAACUUUAGUGGUUCUGGCAUCUUUAUCUAUUGUUCCUAAUGUGGUUUGGACAUUAGUAACUAGAUCUUUUAAUCCAUUAUCAGUGAAUUGUGGAUUUUUUGAUGGUUUUGGGAAGUCGUCAAUGUCACUACUAUCCCCCCACUAAAAAAUUGUUUGGAUGGUAAGCCAAACACAUUACUGAGACUGGUGAGUAAGAUAAAUACAGAUCCUAAGACCGAAUUUAUAUUAUUUAAAUGGUUAAGACAACCAUCUAUCCCUCUUCCGCCAUGAUAUGUAUAUGGUGGUGGAUUAACUGUUACAUUCUGGUGUUUUAAACCUAUGUAUCUUUUGUUAUAAAAUAUAUGAGGUUUUCCUUGAUGGGGAUUACUUAUAUUUCUUUAUCUGUUAAAUCAAGACUUAAAUGAUUUAUCCUUUUACUAAUAGCUGUAAGGCUAUCUUGUUCUGGUGGUGGUAAACCAUGCAUCCUAUAACGGGCUUUAACUAAAGCUUCGUUAUUAUUUAAUGAAGACUGACCUUCAUUCCAACCUGGAUUAUAACUCCAAUUAUUUAUAAUCGUUGGUCUUUCAUCCUCUUCAGAUGAAUUUUUAUUAACCAUUAAAGGAAUUCCUUUCCUUUGGAUUGGUUGAUCAUUUUGGGUAAUCCAUUGAUUACUUAUCUGUCUAUGGUCUCUUAACCCAAGCUGUGAACUUGGAGUUCCCAUAAUUUGUAACUUAGAUUAGGAACCUAAGAAGGGUUUAGGACUCAGGUCCAUGGCCCAGACUGAAUCAAGAGGUGUAACCUCCUGAAAGGGAAUAUUGGAUAUCUGUCCAAAUUCCUUAAAGACUCCAUCUAUACUAAUGGGUUCUUUAUUUUUAAACAUCAUAGAAUGAUGGCUAUUUGUUAAAGUAUAACAAAUCUUAUAUGUGAUACUAAGGGGCAUGUCACCACUACGCAUCAAAUCUGUUCUCUCAAAUUCAUGAGCUAAACAUAUUAUAGAAUUAAUGUUUUUAGUGUUCAGAGGAACACCAAUUUUAGGAUUACAAGUAAAUACUAACUUACCAUAAGCUAGAUUUCCUUGUACUGCACCAAAGAUAGCAUCUUUGGGUUCUGUCAUACGUCUAUCUAAAAUAGCAAGUUUGACAGGGCUAUUGAUACCUACUCUAAAAGUAGAUUUCAUCAUAACUUUUAUACUACCUAUGUGUAUAUAGGUAAUUGUUUUUCGUAUCUCAGGUGGAAACUUAGCAAGUUUAUGAGAUAUUUCUUCCUUUAAAACUAAAGGUAUUUCUGUACUACCACGAGUAUCUUUUAUAUCUAUGGGAUAUUCUCUAGUACCUAUAUAGGUAAUAAUAUGAUUCUUUCUACGAAAUAACUUAUUCUGUAUAGAGGCUAUUAUACUUAAAGAUUUAAAUACAUCUUCUGAAUUUAAAGAUAAGUCUGUUUUACUUACCUGGUCUAGGAUAUUGCUGUCAAUGGUUACAUCUUGAGCAAAUAUUUCUUCUGCUUCAAAAACUUCUUGUUGGAAGCUUGAAUCUUCUUCUUCUUGAGUUGGAUGACUCAUAUCUGCAAUGUUAGUUUCUCUACAAAGUCGAGAAAACAUAAACAAUUUGAACCGUUACGAGGCUCUGAUACCAAAUUUUUAACACGACGUUGUACGUGGCGUUGUUAUACCAGAAAUACGAACCGAAGUUCUAGUUACUGGUUUCCAGCCUAUAUACAACAACCGGAAUCUUAUAAGUUACUAGGAUUAUAAUCAUCUAAUCCUAUAAUUUCAUCACUGCUAUCAGCAGUUUCUGGGUCCUGAGAGUCAUUCUCAGAUUCUUCUAAGAGCUUUAACAAGUUCUUUUUAAUUCUUUUUAAGAAUUUAAGUCUAUAACUUAAUGGUAUGUUUUCUGGUCUACUGAACCAAUCAUCAUCAAUGUAUUCGGGGAUUCUAUCCUCAUAAUAAUCAAUCCUUGCUUGGAUUUUAUCUACAAACAUCCUAAGGGUAGGAGUAUGAUAUAAACUUAAACAGUCAAUCUGACUGAUAAUAUUGUCGACUAUUGAAUCCAUACCUGGAUAAUCUUCUUUACUGUGUCGUUUGAGACACUGCCCUUGUCUUUUCGCCAUUAUACGACGCCAACACCAACACUUCUGCCCUUCUCAUCAUCUUCAUACGGGACUUACUUGUGCUAUUCAGGUGCUAUUCAGGCGACUGAAGUAGUAGGCUACUUACAGAAUGCAGGUAGACACUUUAGAAGUUCUUACGAACUUAAGAUAAACAACACAAAGUUGUUAUAUUAAAACUUUCAAAUCCUGUUAAGGAUUUCUUUUAUUGAAAAAUUUGUUACCAGUAGUAGAGGGUUUUCAAACAGGGUUAAGGCUUCAGAAUUAGUCUGAAGAUCUUACAUAGAGAUCAAGGCUCUUUAUAGCCUGAGAGGGUUGAAAGCAAACAAACUAAAUUAUUACAAAUAGUUCCUUUUUUAUCGUGGUAGGGUCCACAUUGAGGUAGCCUGUUACAUCUCGUCGGCUAUCCUUCUCUUUCCUGGUUGGCAGGAAUCGUCAGACAGUGCGUCACCACUGUUGGAGGAGCAGGUCUCCAUCUUUUCGUCUUCAGGACAUAAGUCACAUUUAUGAUCUUCGGUGCCAUAAGCAUAAAAUUUUCUCUUGGUUGAUGCAGAGAUCCCAAGAUCAUUACAGUAGAACUGUCGUUCAAACUUCUGUAUCCUAUGACAAUCUUCUUCACUGAUUGUUUGCAACGAGUCAGUUGCUAGCAGAACAUGAUUGCUCUGAUAAUUAAUUCGAACCUUAGAAUCCACAUAAAGUGAAGUUCUAAUCUUUUUUAACACAAAUCCUAAUGUUUGUGCUCUUAACUCCGGGAGUGCUUGGUGCAGAUAAGGAGUAGGGUUCUUGGAUUCUGUACAUCUAUUUUGUUUCUGAGCAUACCCAUUUUAAUGUAAUGAUAUGCUGGAUAAUUUCUGAGACUAUCGGUCUCAUCUUCUGUCUCUUCCCAAUCAAGGAAAGAACUUUUGAAAGAGAGAUAAACUCUCAUUUCGGGGUCCUGGAGGACCUUCUGGCGGUAAUGUUUUACUGCAACCAGAAUCUUUUGGGGAAGGAGGCUGAUCUCCUUCAGGUUAGGGCUAGGAUAGGCUGCAUUAAGCAGACCACAAUAAAACAAAGUUUGGACAAACUUUGGACUAGCACCUAUAGUUACGUUAAACAAACGUAAUCCUUUUGUUUCACUGAUGAAGUAGUGAUUUUGUUCAUCAGUACAUGUAGACUCUGCAAGAGCAAAGUAAUGAUCAAAGGUUUCCAGAGUGAUGAAUUCAUGGUCAUCAGGGUCUGGUAUCCUAAUUUUGUUGAAACCUAGUAAAGGCUCUGUUUGUGACUGGGUUAGCAGGCAUUUUAGCUUUAUCAGCAAAGGUGUGAUGAGUCUAGGAACAUCAACAGGUGUGAUGAGUCUAGGAACACUUUGGAGGGGUGUAUUGUGUUGGACACAAUAAUCAGUAAAGGCUUUUUGGGCCAAUUCAUAGGACUUAUAGCCCUGAAAUGCAUAAGGCGUACCUGAUACAAGGGGUUGAACUGUCGCCCAUUCUUUGUAGACUCCAGCACGGGGUCCUGAAAAUAUAACAUAACAUUUUUGCGCUUCUAACGCUUUGAAUGGUUCAGAGGCCUUAUAAGCAUCCUCUAUCUUUUUGAUCCCUUGGUCAAGGAUUUUUGGUUUUAAAACCAAAUCUUUUGAACUGGAAGGAGACUGUGAAGUCUGUCCAGUAGUAGCCUUGGCGACUGCCAUCUUUUCAGAAAACCUUUCAAGAAGGCCUUCGGCACUAAAAGGUUUAGAAGCUAACUUACUUCUUUUUUCAGUGAGACGCUCCAGUUUGAGCUUCUUUUCCUGAAUCCUCUUCUCCGUCUUGGCAAUCUUUAUAUCAAGGUCAUUGAUAUCUUCUACUAUGUCUGAUCUCGACAUAUUUCUCCUAACUCUCGUGAGAGAGCGUCUGCAAACACGUUAUUAAUGCCCUCAACGUGUUCGAACUCAAUAUCGAAGUAUUGUAGCCAGAGUUGCCACCUGACUAAUCUUCCUUGUUUAUAAGAACCUGUAAUGUUAGUAUUCAGAAAGAAGAAUACAUGUUUAUUAUCAGUUAUUGCUUUAAAUCUCACUGGGAUGAGAUAUACUUGAAACCGUUUGAUGGUAUUUAUAAGAGCGAGGAGCUCUUUUUCAUUGCUAUGGUAAUUUUGCUCGGCUGGCUUAAAAGUCCCGCUGGCAUAACCACAUAUUAAUUCAGGUCCUUCCUGAGGUUUUGAUUUAAGGAUUCCUCCCCAAUAUUUGUCUGAGGCAUCAGUCUCAAUAAUUAAAGGCUCAUCAGGUCCAGGGUGGUGGACAGGUGGAAGAUGUUUAAUUGCCUUUUGAUUUUGUCAACAUAAGUUGUAUCUUCAUUUGACCAUUGCCAAAUGUCUUUCUUCAAUUUUGCCUGUAGAGGUUGGCGGAUCUGUGCAACCUUUGGACAAAAAUUAGAAAUAUAAUUUAAAAUUCCUAAGAAUCUUUGUAACUGUUUUUUAUCAGUUAUCUUGCUAUCAAAUUCACUAAGGUGAUUACCUAUGUGACUUUGUAACUUAAUUUGUCCUUUGUCAAUUAUUAAUCCGAGGAAAUUAAUACCCUAUUUGAAUAAUUGAGCUUUGGGUAAAGAUAGGAUGACUCAUAUUUCUUUACAUCUAUCUAGAACUUUAGUCACAUGGGUGAUGUGAUCUUUAUCAUUAUUGCUGAACACAAUAAUAUCGUCGACAUAGACACGACAAAAGGAUUCAAAUCCUUUGAAGGUCUCAUCCAUAUGUCUCUGGAAUAUGGAUGGGGCCUGUUUUAAGCCGAAAGGCAUGACUUUCCACUGAAAGUGUCCUUAUGGGCAUGUGAAAGCAGUUAAAGAUUGUGAGCUGUUAUCUAACAGUACUUGCCAAAAUCCACUUUUACAGUCAAAAGAGGAGAAUAGCUUUUUUCCACGAAUCUGAUCUAACAGUUCAUCUUUUCUAGGUAGAAGAUAUCCAUCUCCUAUUGUGUGGUCAUUCAAUUUUUUAUAAUUGAUUACCAUACGUCUUUUUCCACGUUUCUGCUCUGAGUGUUUGUUGACUAAGAAGGCAGGACUAAAGUGUGGAGAUUUACUUGGUUCUAUUAGAUUGGCAUCUAAUAAUUCCUGAAUUUGUUUUGCAAAUUCUUCUCUAUCCGGUGCAGUGUACUGCAUAGGUGGAACCUUUAUUUUAGUUGUUUUAUCAACUAAUUCUAUGUGGGCUCUAAAAUUGUAUUUAGAGAUAUUGUUAUCUAAUGGGUUGUCACUACAAACCAUCUUAAGUUUAUCUUCAAUGGUAGAUAAACUCAUAAGAUUUAAUAAAAAAUCUUCGGAAGGUGAGAAAGUACGGAUACUCUCCCCCAGACUUUUUUGAUCAAAAUCUAAAUUUUGAACAAUAUUUUCGGGUUCAGGAACUUUGGUAUGACUACCAUGUUUCUGAGAAUCUAAGAAACCAGGCUGACCACGAUGAUAAGCCUUAGUUAUUUUAGGGCAAACAACAGUUUGUCCUUCAUGAUGGAAGAUAAUAAUUUUUCCCCAUUGAGCAAAUGGCUCAUAGAGACGACAGAAAUUAUUACCUAGAAGUAUAUCAUACCGGGACUCGGUUUGAUAUAACGUUGGAAUGAUAAAAACCUUAUCCUGGAUAAGGAUUUCUAUACGUUCAGCCACAACAUCUAAUGUGUGGAUAGUAUCAUCUGCUAACUUAGCGUAUAUUGGGUUUGGCGUUUUAGUCCAAAACUGGGGUGGUAUUAUGUUCUUAUUGGCAAGACACAUACUAGCACCAGUAUCUACGUAGCAAUCUACAUUAAGUUUCCUGUAUCCACUAAAGGAUAACGUUCCUCUAAUGUAAAUAGAAUUUACAUGAGUGCGUGUUUGUCUGGCAACACGUCCUAAAUCAAGAAUCUUUUCUUGAGGUAUGGUAGUUAAGUCAGUCCAAAUGACUUGGCUUAAAUCUACAGUUUCUUCUACUUUAUAUAAAGGUAAAGUAUCAUAGUCAAGGAAAUCAUUGAUUUCUUUGUCUAUGAGUUGUUCUAACUCAUUAUUGGGUUCUAAGCACGAGGUAGUGCUAUCUUUCAGAAGUAGGUCCCAUCCUUCUUCUGUUUCUAACUCUUGAUCCGAGAUAUCAGAGCUUGUCUCUGAAUAGUCAUCGGUGUCACAUUCACUAUCAGACUCUAAAUAAAAGAGUUCUUCGUCACUAGUGACAUCAUCUAAGGUUUCUAGCGGAGCUAGAUUGUAUUGUUCUAGAGCUUCUUCUAGAAAUAUUUCUUCAAAGGCCUUGGCAUGGGCUUUUGAUGAUUUGGUGUUUGGACAUUCAUAACUCAUAUGUCCAAUUUCUUGGCAAAUCCAACAUUUGCAUGUUUUCUUUUUCUAUGGACAGAAUUUUUGUUUAUCCUGUUGGGAUAUUUCUUUGGGCUCAUCAUUGAGUCCUUUAAGGUCUUUAUAGUUUUUUCUUUUGAAAAAACAUUUCUUUCUACCUUGGUGUCCAAAGUAUUUUUUAUACCGUUUCGGGUUUUUGUAAUACUUUUUCUUUUUAGGUUUUCUAAACCUAUAUUUCUUCUUAAUCUUUUUCUUCCAUUUUUUAAUUUGUGGAAUAGUUUGACAACCAUACAUGGUUUCUGGUCCUUGGAAUUCAGGACAACAAAGAUUAAUUUUCUUUGUUCUUUUGAGUAACUGACGUUCAGUACAUAUUUUAGUUAGUUUCUUUUUAACUAUAUUUUUAGCAACCAUUAAACUUAGUUUGCUAAUGGGUGGCAAGGCUUGAUAUUCUUCAAGACUUUCUUUUCCUAUGUAAGGAAUCUUUCUAAGGUAUCCUUCAAUGUAACUAAUCCAUUCAGUAUUAGGUACACUUAACAGGGCUUCCUCAUAAUCACAAGUGAACUGGUCUAAAUAACACAGAUCACAAAUCUGUAUCUUAGUCAUGCGUUCCCUAGCUUCUUCUUGUUUUAUCCUAACUUGAUUUUCACCAUCGUUAAGAUAGUUUGUUCCUAGGAAUACUGUUGACAAUAGAUUCACUAUAUUUUGGAGAAAAUCUUCAGAAGAUCCUCUCAUAAAUUCUUCCUUAUUGAUUCCUUCAAUAAGAUCAUUGGCCAUGUAUCAAUUUGAAUGUGUCCUGUUGACAAUUGAUUCCUCCCAACCUGCAUUAAUACACACACACACACACACAGAGACACAUACAUCAUACAUGUAUCAAUUGCUGUCCGAAGCAGUAGCAAAGACUUUUAUCAUUUUGCAGCCAAUUAUAGAAGAUCAGUGAUCAGUAGCUGUUUAGUUCUGCAAUGACCAAUGCUCGUUCACUUCAAAUAUGAGCAGUUAAUACUUUGCUUAAGGUUGCAAUGUUGGAUGAGUAAAUAAAUUGAAGGAAAAUAUUGAACUAGGAGUGGCAGAGCACCGGGUCACUUAGGCAGCACUAGAAGAGGCAUUUAUUUGGAAUAAAAAUGGCUAUGAGAUUUAGGCAGCACUGCUCAUCAAUGGUCAAAGAUAUGAUUAGUGGAAGAUCAUAUUUAUUUGUUUUAACUUACAAGAACUGCUUGUGCACCAAGGGCCAGCGCCUUGAAAACAUCUGUUCCUCGCCGUACUCCUCCAUCAAGGAGAACAGGAACUCUCCUUCCUACAGCUUGAACCACCUGCAAAAAAAGUACAUUUCCGUGUCAAUUGAAAUGUCUAGAUAAGGAGUAUAAUUUAGACUGUCUGCAUUCGGUGAAAUGAUUCUACCUCUUCCAGAACUGAGAUUGUGGCUGGAGUAUAAUCAAGCUGACGAGCUCCAUGAUUGGAGACGAUAAUCCCAGCAGCACCUACUUCCAUGGCUUUAAUGGCUGCAAAAUAACCUCCACUGUGUAAAGGAUCUAGCUUACAUAUUCCAGAUACCAUUAUGUUGGCUGAGCAAUGACAGAUAAUUUCAAAGAGAGUAUAAGAGUGUUCAAAUGUUUCAAGAUCAAGAAGAACAAUAGACUACGGAGUGAAACAAACAUCAUCAGAUAAGACUUUGAUCUUACCAUCCUCUCGAGUGAGUAUUCCCUUGAUCAGAAUCGGCAAGUUUGUAGUGGAUUUUAGCCAUGCUAUAUCCUGCUGGGGUAACGAAGCACUGGUUAAAUAUAGGAAUUUUUAUAAUGGUUUAUGUUAUGUAAGAAUGGUGCUUAGCCAGGGUUAUAAUCAAUAAGGCUUCAAAAUAAAGUCCAUGAAUCAGCCAACUAAACCGCAUUGCUUUCAGAAUUGGUUAUGACAACUGGCUCUAUACUCAACUCUUCUAUUGAGUGGGCAUCUCAUGCAGGCGUACAGAACAGCCUGAAAAUAAGGGUAUGAUAAAUAAAUCGCAAGGUAAUUAAAUAGGAGUUUACUGGUUUUUACCCUCCAACACAAAGAAGGAUCCAUGGUUUCAUUGGCGUAAGCUUCGAAGUUGGAACCCUUAACCUGCAAGAGUUCACAUCUGUAAGUCUUGAAACGAAGGAAUAAAAAACGGAAACAACCACUCCACAUUGAAAGGCCAAAAAUUAAAAUCUAUGUGAAUCAAUGCUUGGGUUUCAUAUGAAAGAUUCCUUUAAAUGAACACAAGUUUGAUGCCCAUUUCAAUAAUUUACUCACAGACACAACUUCAGUUGACAUAAGACCUUCCAAAUUCUUCAGCUGGGGCACAAUCAGUCUGCAGAAGCAUGACAGAUGAAUUCAUUUUGGGAUGCAAGUGCAUAUAUCUUUAAAAACAUGCAUUUUUGUUUUGUGUGGAAACAAAGAUAGAAUUGUAGUUACAAUCAACAUUAAACUAAUUAAUGUCACAUUCCACCACCAAAUGAAGUGGUUUAGAGCAUUUAAAACAAGCUGUAAUAGCUCUUAAAUCCCUAUAAUUUUAUACAGAAUGAGAGAGGAAGAAAUGAUAUCUACUUAUUCUUUAUGUCUGCCUCCCUUCGACCAAGUCUUGGAGUGUCAGCUGUUAGGACGAUAGCCUUAUAUCCACUCUUUUCAGCUCUCUGCACAAGGUUAACAGCUAUAUCUCGUCUUUUGUAUACCUAAUCACACGCAGAAGAGUACAUGCUUACAGUUUAGUUCCCAUAUUCCUAUUCAUGUUAGCACCACAGCAGAGUUGCCUCAUUGAAGAAAUGAAAUAAACCUUUCUAAUAGCACUUAUAAGUGUCAUAGAAAAUGUGAAAGAAUCCUGCUAAAAGUUGUUUCUGUUGCACUACAAAAGAGAGUUGAGAGAAUACUUUUGUCACUUUUAAAAUUAAAAGAGAGACUACUAAAAAAAAGGAGCAUAUGGAGGUCUAAUUACAUAUAAUUGAAAGAAUCGAACAGCAUCGCAACUGGCAGCAACCUCCUCCACGCUGCAGGAAGAUGAAGGAUAAAGUCUGGAAAGAAAUAAACCCAUUAUCCAAGCAUGUAAAGCAAAAUGGAAAAAAUAUAAGGCUGAAUGUUCCUCAUAUGUACCAUUAUAGUAUUACAUGCAGCUGCUGCUCUGGCAGUGGCAAGCUCUCCUGGGGAUAGACGGAAAAGCUGGUAAAAGCAGGAUGAAGAAUGAAUGUACAAACUAAUAACUCUUCAGUCAGAGGAUAAGACCUUCAGGAUGUGCUAGCUUAUGCAUAGAAGUUGGGGCUAUCAUAAUCGGCGCCGAGAUAGUGUAGCCCAAUAUAUUAGUAGACAAAGCUAUGUUGCUCACAUCCACAAGAACUCUAGGCAGCAAUCUGAGUAAAAGCGGUAUGUUAAAUUUCAUGUCCUUUACUAUACUCGAAUCGGGAAAUAGUUUCAAGGCAUUACAUGAUUCUCUGAAAUUCUUGUACAUUCUUCUUUAAUGUGUGCUCAUCCUCUGCUCCUCCAGCAUAGAAGUCAUAGUACAUUUUUGGAAGGGCUUGCCUAGCCAAUUCUUGGAACUCAUUCACGUUAACUAUUUCAUCUGCCAUUUAACCUGGAAACUUGGAUCACAGUCAAAUGUCUUGCUUUACAGCACUUUUAGAAGCCUAAGCUCCAGUAAAAAUCAUAAAUAGACUAGGGAACACAUAAAUUGUAUAUAUAUAUAUAUAUAUGUGUGUGUGUGUGUGUGUGUGUGUGUGUGUGUGUGCAAGUUCGAGUGAACUAUCUCAAACCAAUUAUGCUUUCUUAACACAGGGUAUAAACUGUUUGAAACGCUAAAACAUGCGAGACUGUCACGAAAAUAACAAACUGUUUCCAUUCAAGAUCACAGGGUAAUCAAGAAGCUUAACUGCAAGAAAAACAGGUUGUGCUGAUGCCCCAGCUAAGAAAACAAAGAAAACUGCAGGAAAAACAUACCUACAGUAGUAGAAAGCUCCAGGGAAACAGAGAAGGAUUGAAACAGGUAUUGCCAAUCAAGUGGUAUCAAGAAGAGUGAAGAACAGGUACUGUCGUCUUUCAUCAAGUCUUCGUCUGCCAGCGAAAGGUACCUUCUUUCUCUCUCCAUAUGACUACCCUAUUUUGUCAUUUCUUUUCAUUAUGGUAUCAGGAAAAUGAUAUAUGGUGGAACAUCCACUUAAGAUUGAGAUCGACUUUUGCAUUUUCCCUUCUUUUUUAUUCAUUCAUUUAUUUAUUUUUCUAAUAUUGCUUGGUGCUGUCUUUUUUACUUACAAAGAUGCCUUUAUGCAGAGGUAACACCCAGAAGUAAUAAGGAAUAGCCUUCUUUAUUAAUCUACCCGAAUACACUGAUAUGAAAGCUUUGCUUUUAAAAUCUUUUGAAAAGAAUACGAUGAAGGUAUAAAAACUUCAAAUUAGAUUUUAGUUUUUUUAAAUUGUCUCAUGAACUGAAAUAAAUGUAUGGGCUUAAAUGUGAAUUUUAUCUUUAAAUUUAGAAUUAUAUAAAAUUAGCUCGUGUAUCAUGGAGUUCCAAUUUGAGUAAUCAUGAAAAGUAAUUUCUUUGCUUCACAGGUAAGCUGAAAAAAUAAAUUGUUGAUUGUUAUAUUUUAUUAUACUACUGUGAAAAAAAUUAACGCGAUAAUUGACAUGAAAUGUUAGGAUUGACUUUUGUUAUAUUUUAUAUUAUAACCUAUUAGAUUGAGAUAUUUCCUGAUAUGAUAUUAGAGUUUUGAUAAUCAAGCGAUUACAAGUUUGAAUCUUAUUAUUUUUAUUCAAGUUCAAAAAGUUUUUAUCUAAAAGAGUGUAUUAAAGAAUAAUAUAAAGUAUAUUUUAAAACAUCACUUAAUAAUUUAAGUUAUUAAAUUAAAAUAGUUCUUUGAUAGUUAUAAUAAAAAGAUGUAUAUCAUUUAUUUUUUUUGUUAUUAAUAUGAGUGUUAUGGUCAGUUUAUGCAUAUCUCGACUAAUCUCACAGAACUUGAAAUUAAUGACUAUUUAAAUCUCCAGUAGCUCUGAGAUUUGUGGAACUCGAAUUGAUAAUUUUUAAAGAAUAAAUUUAAAAUCUAAUUACUUAAAUUAUACCAAUCAUAUUAGACGUGUAUCAUUCUUAUUAUUGGUGAUUGUUAUUAAAUAGCAAACUAGGUGCCGUAAUGACAAUUCAUGCGAUCUCAGUCGACAUUAGUGGAUGGUUGCUCUACGCCUCCUAACAAGUCACAUGUCCAAAAUUUAUGCAAGUUCGAGUGAACUAUCUCAAACCAAUUAUGCUUUCUUAACACAGGGUAUAAACUAUUUGAAACGCUAAAACAUGCGAGACUGUCACGAAAAUAACAAACUGUUUCCAUUCAAGAUCACAGGGUAAUCAAGAAGCUUAACUGCAAGAAAAACAGAUUGUGCUGAUGUCCCAGCUAAGAAAACAAAGAAAACUGCAAGAAAAACAUACCUACAGUAGUAGAAAGCUCCAGGGAAACAGAGAAGGAUUGAAACAGGUAUUGCCAAUCAAGUGGUAUGAAGAAGAGUGAAGAACAGGUACUGUCGUCUUUCAUCAAGUCAUCGUCUGCCAGCGAAAGGUACCUUCUUUCUCUCUCCAUAUGACUACCCUAUUUUGUCAUUUCUUUUCAUUAUGGUAUCAGGAAAAUGAUAUAUGGUGGAACAUCCACUUAAGAUUGAGAUCGACUUUUGCAUUUUCCCUUCUUUUUUAUUCAUUCAUUUAUUUAUUUUUCUAAUAUUGCUUGGUGCUGUCUUUUUUACUUACAAAGAUGCCUUUAUGCAGAGGUAACACCCAGAAGUAGUAAUAAGGAAUAGCCUUCUUUAUUAAUCUACCCGAAUACACCGAUAUGAAAGCUUUGCUUUUAAAAUCUUUUGAAAAAGUACAAUGAAGUUAAAAAAACUUCAAAUUAGAUUUUAGUUUUUUAAAUUGUCUCAUGAACUGAAAUACAUGUAUGGGCUUAAAUGUGAAUUUUAUCUUUAAAUUUAGAAUUAUAUAAAUUAGUCGUGUAUCAUGGAGUUGCAAUUUGAGUAAUCAUGAAAAGUAAUUCCUUUGCUUAACAGGUAAGCUGCUGAAAAAAUAAAUUGUUGAUUGUUAUAUUUUAUUAUACUACUGUGAAAAAAAUUAACGCGAUGAUUGACAUGAAAUGUUAGGAUUGACUUUUGUUAUAUUUUAUAUUAUAAAAUUAUUAGAUUGAGAUGAUUUUUUUACAUGAUAUCAGAGUUUUAAUAAUCAAGCUGUUACAAGUUUGAAUCUUAUCACUCCUAUUUUAUUUUAAUAAAAAUUAAAUAUAAAAUAAUAUGAACCUAUGCAAGUUUCAAGUUCAAAAGGUUUUUAUCUAAGUGAGUGUAUUAGAGAAUAAUAUAAAUUAUUUAUUUUAACCUCACUUAAUAGUUUAAGCUAUUAAAUUAAGAUAAUUCUUUGACAGUUAUACUAAAAAGAAUAUUAUAUAUAUAUAUAUAUAUAUAUAUAUAUAUAUCAUUUAUUUUUUUUAUUAUUAAUGUAGGUGUUAUGGUCAGCUUAUGCGUAUCUCAACUAAUCUCAUUGACCUCGAAAUUAACGACUAUGUAAUCCUGCAGUAGCUCUGAGGUUUAUAGGACUUGAAUUGAUAAUUUUUAAAAAGUAAAUCUAAAAUCUAACUAGUUAAAUUAUAUCAAUCAUAUUAGACGUAUAUCAUUUUCAUUAUUGGUGAUUGAUAUUAAAUAGCAAACUAGGUGCCGUAAUGACCAUUCAUGUGAUCUCAGUCGACAUUAGUGGAUGCCUAACUAGUCACAUGUCCAUAAUUUAUGUCAAGUGCUUAGGCAGCGUGAGAGUGCAGAAAUUAGAGAGUUGAAUGGUUGUGAGCAUGCAUGGCAAAGGUUUUUUCUCUCUCGCUCUCUUUUCUUUUCUUUCCUUUUUUUUACCCCUUUGCAUUGCAUUCUAUCGACCAAGUAAAUUUAAGGACUGAAUGGUAAAGCUGUGAAGGAAUAAAGGACUGAAAUGGAGAAAAGAAGGGAAAAAAUUGUUUGCGGAUAUAAUACACAUGAGAGCAGGUGGACAAGCCGCCAUAGCGUCCUUGUGUUGACGAAUUUGUUUUGAUAAGACUUUUCGAUGAUAUUGUUGAAAAUGCUCUGUGGCGGCAUCCCCUCAUUUCUUUCUUCCUUCCUUUUUUUUUUUUUUUUUUUCUCUUCUUACCAUGUUGUUAUUCAUUUCUCCUUCCCUUUGCAGAGCAGGGUUGUCUCCUUUCCUUUUAAAAAAAUAAUCCUAGUCGAUGCAAUAGUUAGUUCAAAGAUAACUAUAUAUAAAAAAAUUAAAUUUAUUGUUGAAAUUCUAAAAUCAUCAAACUUCAAGGUCAUUCUUGAGUGCACUAAGCCAUUGUUCCAUGAAGAAUAGACUUGUAUUUAGUAAUGUAAGAAUUUGAUCCAAACUAUUGUACCAUGAAGAAAAUUUUGAUGAAUUCUCGAGAGCUAUAUAUAUAACCGAACCCAAUAUUCAAAAUAAACCAAGUUCCACAGAAACCUGUCCUAAUGAGAAGAAACAUCCUGACAAAGCUCGAUCUAUUGAGCCACUGAAGUGGAAAAUAUUGAACCCUUGCACAGUAGUGGAAAGUUUCAGAAGGUAUGGUCUUCGUUCCAGCCUUCUUGGGUUGGGAGGCCACUCCUCUCUCCUUGGGCUACAAGGCCCACCUCUCUCCUCUCUCCUCUGCUCACGUCCCUCCCUUGAUUCAUGCACAAAUUUGCAAUCGUGACCGUAA